AUUGAACGCUGGCGGCAGGCCUAACACAUGCAAGUCGAGCGGUAGAGAGAAGCUUGCUUCUCUUGAGAGCGGCGGACGGGUGAGUAAUGCCUAGGAAUCUGCCUAGUGGUGGGGGAUAACGUUCGGAAACGGACGCUAAUACCGCAUACGUCCUACGGGAGAAAGCGGGGGAUCUUCGGACCUCGCGCCAUUAGAUGAGCCUAGGUCGGAUUAGCUAGUUGGUGAGGGAAUGGCUCAACAAGGCGACGAUCCGUAACUGGUCUGAGAGGAUGAUCAGUCACACUGGAACUGAGACACGGUCCAGACUCCUACGGGAGGCAGCAGUGGGGAAUAUUGGACAAUGGGCGAAAGCCUGAUCCAGCCAUGCCGCGUGUGUGAAGAAGGUCUUCGGAUUGUAAAGCACUUUAAGUUGGGAGGAAGUGCAGUAACCUAAUACGUUAUUGUUUUGACGUUACCGACAGAAUAAGCACCGGCUAACUUCGUGCCAGCCGCCGCCGUAAUAC
rnacentral:rRNA from 1 species